GCUCCCCAUGGAAUUUAAUCCGUUUGAAGGUCUGGGCGAUGAACCUUGGAGCCCUGGCCCUCUUUUCAACACAUAAUUCUGAACGUUUGAAUGCUCAGUCAAGGACCCCAUAAAUUUAACUCGACACCAUCUUAUAAAGUAGCAUCAUAAAGAGAAGUUUCUAAGUGCCUGGAAUCUGCCAAGCUGGCUAGUCCAACUGGCUCACUCACUAUGAGUCAGUAAAAGAGGAACUUUUGCCAAGUCAAUCUGCACUGCUCUGACUACCACCAUGGAAUGUGUGGCUUCCAUGGAGACAUGUCUUUUAUUCGGGAUGCUCUUCUUAGUGAAAUGCUGAUACGUUCGUUCAUCGAAAAGGAAUUCUAUUCACCAGCGGACAGGCUAAGGGAAUGAGGAGUUGGGAUCAGAUGUCGUUGGAGAUAUCUCCGGGGGUAUCCAGACGCCUGAAAAGUCAGAAAGUUGAGAGCCAAAGAUGUCAUUUCUUUCUGAUUUGGUCCCUCUCCCCAUUCAGACACAAAUUCUUGAUGAACCUUUCCCAAACUAAAAAAGUGACCCUGCUGCCUGAUAGACAUACUAUCUGGAGUGCUCCCAAAGAGCAAUAAAACAAAAAGGAUAUAA